UGACUCAUUCGAAAGCUGGCCAGGCAGCCUCUGGACCAGGCCUUGGCAUUAAGUCUUCUGGACAGUGAGCACUAGGUCUCUUCUAAACCGUAGGUCAUGGAAGCUUCAGGCUGGAAAGCAGGGACCCCAGGGCAGCCAGCUCAGCAGGGCUGCAAAACGAUGUCAGCAGAGUGUGCGCCCUCACUGGAGCAAGCCGCAGCGUCUGGCUGUCUGGCCUACCUAGGGCUGCUGUGACACGUUCAUACACGUGGUGGCUUCAAACAACAGCCAGUUAUUCUCUCAGUUCUGGGCUGGAAGCCAAACGCAGGUGUUGGCAGGGCCACGCUUCCUCCACAAGCUCUGGGGGAGAGUCCCUCCUUGACUCUUCUGGCCCCUGGUGGCUCCAGGCCUUCUCCAGUCCAUGGCCGCAUUGCUGCAGUCUCUGCCUGUAUCACCAUCGGGCCGUCCUCCCUCUGCGUGAGGCUCUGCGACCUCACCUCUUCCAUCAAGAAGCCAGUGACUGCACAUGGGGUCUACCUUAAGUCCUCCCGCGAUGACAUCUGCACACUCCCUAUUCCAAACAAGGUCACACUCACAGGCACCAAGGUUAGCACUUGGAUUUGUCCUUUUGGGGACACAAUUGGCACACAGCACUGGCUAAGCUCUAUCCAAAGGGGAGUUAAUUUGGGCAAGGAAUGGAGAUUCUGGAAAGAAAACCAGGAAGGCAGAGCUAAAACAAAUAGACAAAUGAUAAAAACAGCAACAAAGUAAAAUUUGGGUGGCUUCCUGAGCCCUCCUGCACCAGAAACGUCUGGAGAGUGAUGUCAUACCUGCUGUCUGGCCCUCCCCGCAGCCUGGAUAGCAAGCUGGAGCUGUCAUCCCCUGGGCUCUGCUGUGGGGAUGGCACCCACCUUAUCCUAGUUCAGGACGCACUCUCCUGAGUUUCUCCUACUCUGUCCUUCCUAAGGCUGACCCUGCUUCCGUCUGGUGCCCUCAUGGGGUCCCUGCUGCAUGUCCUUCACCUCCUGCUUCCACAGCUCAACCCCAGCAAUGGAUUCCCAGGCAACGUGACCUGCCUGCUUCCCUUUCACCUUCCAUCAUGAUUGUAAGUUUCCUGAGGCCUCCCCAGAAGAAGAAGCUUGCACAGCCCACAGAACCACUCAUAGGUUGAAGGGACUUGCCUUAUUUCGAGAUGAG